CCGAUGGCGACCGGCGCACGGGUGAGUAACACGUAUCCAACCUGCCGAUAACCCGGGGAUAGCCUUUCGAAAGAAAGAUUAAUAUCCGAUAGCAUAUCAAGAUCGCAUGAUCUUGAUAUUAAAGAAUUUCGGUUAUCGAUGGGGAUGCGUUCCAUUAGUUAGUUGGCGGGGUAACGGCCCACCAAGACGACGAUGGAUAGGGGUUCUGAGAGGAAGGUCCCCCACAUUGGAACUGAGACACGGUCCAAACUCCUACGGGAGGCAGCAG
rnacentral:rRNA from 1 species